AGUUGCAGAGAUGGUGGUGGUGGUGGUGGUAAUGGUGGUGGUGAUAAUGGUGGUGAUGCUGAUAGUGGUGAAGGUAUGAUGAUGUGGGUGGUGGUGGUGGUGGUGAUAGUGGUGAUGGUGUUGGUAUUGAGGCUACAUGAAAUCGAUGUUGGUGAUGAAUGUAUAAUGAUGAGGGCGGUGGUGGUGGUGGUGGUGGUGGCGGUGAUGGUAAUAGUGGUGAUGAUGUUGGUAUUGAGGCUACAUGAAAGGGAUGGUGGUGAUGAAGGUAAAAUGAUGUGGGUGGUGGACGUGAUGAUGGUGGUGAUGCUGAUACUGAUGGUGUUGGUGGUGAAGCUUCAUGAAAGGGACGGUGAUGGUGAAGGUAUAAUGAUGUGGGUGGUGAUGGUGUUGGUGGUGAAGCUUCAUGAAAGGGACGGUGAUGGUGAAGGUAUAAUGAUAUGGGUGGUGAUGGUGUUGGUGGUGAAGCUUCAUGAAAGGGACGGUGGUGAUGAAGGUUUAUAAUGAUAUGGGUGGUGAUGGUGUUGGUGGUGAAGCUUCAUGAAAGGGACGGUGGUGAUGAAGGUUUAUAAUGAUAUGGGUGGUGAUGGUGUUGGUGGUGAAACUUCAUGAAAGGGACGGUGAUGGUGAAGGUAUAAUGAUAUGGGUGGUGAUGGUGUUGGUGGUGAAGCUUCAUGAAAGGGAUGGUGAUGGUGAAGGUUUAUAAUGAUAUGGGUGGUGAUGGUGUUGGUGGUGAAGCUUCAUGAAAGGGACGGUGGUGAUGAAGGUUUAUAAUGAUAUGGGUGGUGAUGGUGUUGGUGGUGAAGCUUCAUGAAAGGGACGGUGGUGAUGAAGGUUUAUAAUGAUAUGGGUGGUGAUGGUGUUGGUGGUGAAGCUUCAUGAAAGGGACGGUGAUGGUGAAGGUAUAAUGAUAUGGGUGGUGAUGGUGUUGGUGGUGAAGCUUCAUGAAAGGGAUGGUGGUGAUGAAGGUUUAUAAUGAUGUGGGUGGUGAUGGUGUUGGUGGUGAAGCUUCAUGAAAGGGAUGGUGGUGAUGAAGGUUUAUAAUGAUGUGGGUGGUGAUGGUGUUGGUGGUGAAGCUUCAUGAAAGGGAUGGUGAUGGUGAAGGUUUAUAAUGAUGUGGGUGGUGAUGGUGUUGGUGGUGAAGCUUCAUGAAAGGGAUGGUGAUGAAGGUAUAAUGAUGAGGGUGGUGAUGGUGGUGGUCUUGGUGGUGGUGAGCCCAUCCUAAGAUUUAGGUUUUGCCGUGUAGUCGCGUGUCUUGUGUGUUGCUCCCACCGUCAGUCCUUCCCUUACAUUUUGACUCCAUUCCUCAUUUUUGUAUUUGUAAACAAUCCAUACUGCAGCGUCCACGUGUUUCAGCCUGUCUCGUUAAUCCUCACCGCGGGAUUCCUAAUGAGUUAUAUAAAGAAGGAGGCCCAGGUGUGUUAGAGGGUCUGUAUAGGUUGUUUAGAGAGAUUUGGUUAGAGGGAAAAGUGCCGGGAAAGUGGAACGAGAGUAAAGUGACACUGCUACACGUAGGGGGGCACAGGAGUAGGAAAGAGUUAAAGAACUACCGGCCGAUAGCUGUUACAGACACGACAGGAAAAAAUAAACAGGGUAAUGGGUGAGGUUGUCGUAAGGAUGGAAGGGAGGAGGGUAACAUGUCUGUAGUAAACGCGGUGAUUGAAAGAAUGAAAGGAACGGGUGGGAAGGUAUAACUAGCUUUCCCUGACAUAGAAAAAGCGUAUGAUAGGGUAGAUAGGGGUUUGCUAAGUUGAUUGCUGGCUAGAAUAGGAGUGAGUGAGAGGGCAGUAGGGAUAAUGGAUAGUAUGUACGAGAACACACGUGCAAUCUAUAUCCUAUGGGAUAUAGAGACAGAGUGGGUCAACAGCCGUAGAGGGGUUAGGCAAGGGUGUGUAGCUACUGUCCCCGCUACUGUUCGGGCCGUACACGGAGGAGCUGGCAGAGAGGUUGAGAACAUAAGGUUAUGGGAUAAGGGUGGGGAGUG